CCCUACUAAUGUUAAGCAGUGUGCUAAUAAUCCGAUCAAACAAAAUCCUUCUGUGAUGUGGUGCUCACCAUUUGCCCAUAUGGUGGAAGAUCCUGUUAUGUGUUAUUUAGCAAAGUGGAAACUUGGAGUGUUCAGUCUCCUGCAAGCAGCUUUGUAAGGUUGUCUCACAGCUCCUGGGAUGGAACUGAAAAUUGCUAUCCAUCUUGAAUUCCUGUUUCUUCGAAUCCAACAUCUCUGACGUCCAUCGACGAAGCUUGCCCUUCGACAGAGUCGAGAUCUUCCCCUUUAUAUCCAGAAAGGCAAAGAUGGAAGCAAAGAACUGGCUCGCUAGCCGGAUCUCUCCCACUGUUUCACAUCUUGAGUCAUCGUUAUAAUAUACUAAAUGACUCAAAUGAGUCUGAUCAUGUCCAGGUAAAGUAGUGAGGAGGAUACGGAGUAUGACUUGCACGAGGACAUGAAAUGCCAGGGGGAUGGGUAUAAUCAGCAUGGAGCGGGAGCCAAAAAGAGUGGGUGGAGUCGAGUGGCACAUGCUAGGGAUUCGCAAGUGUUUACUCUCGUUUGCUGCCCAGUUAUAUUUGACCUCUGUGGGUUGGCACGGCGGCGAUCUAUUGCAUUCUCGCUCCUUUAAUUGCUCAGGGAACAGACGAGGGCUUUGAAAAAUCCAAAAUGAUUGUUUGGGGUCAUCAGUCAUGCUCUCUUACUACAGUACUGAUGUUCGGAAACACAGGCUGAAUUGUUUUGGACACACGAUCCAUUUAUUUAGCUAGGCACAAGUGUGUGUGUGUGUGUGUGUGUGUGUGUGUGAGCAUGUAUGUUUGUUUUUCUGAGAGCCCUGACUUGUACUGCACCCAUGAGUGCCCAGGGAACACUGCCUUCUUGGGUCAGACUGGGAACAGAAGGGCAAGAGUCCCGGUUUCAAGAUUCUACUACUCCCUCCCCCCCGCCCCCCUCCCCCCGACUCAGUAGGUGAA